AGGUAGUAACAAGAAAUAACGGACCGGUUCCUUCGGGAUUCGGCCUUGCGGUGAGACGAAUUUACACCCCUUAGCGAGGAUCGAUUGGAGGGCAAGUCUGGUGCCAGCAGCCGCGGUAAUUCCAGCUCCAAUAGCGUAUAUUAAAGUUGUUGCAGUUAAAAAGCUCGUAGUUGGAUUUCUGGGAGGGCGCCAAUGUCCGUCGUCGUACGUGUGCAGCGGCGCCCUUCCAUCCUUCUGUUAACGACUUUGGGCAUUCAUUUGCUGGAGUCGGGCUCAGAUAUUUUACCUUGAGAAAAUUAGAGUGUUUCAGGCAGGCCAAGCCGGAAUACAUUAGCAUGGAAUAAUGGAAUAGGACUACGGUCUCUUUGUUGGUUUGAGGGACUGCAGUAAUGAUUAAUAGGGAUAGUUGGGGGCAUUAGUAUUUAAUUGUCAGAGGUGGAGUUCUCGGAUUUGUUAAAGACUAACUUAUGCGAAAGCAUUUGCCAAGGAUGUUUUCAUUAAUCAAGAACGAAAGUUAGGGGAUCAAAGACGAUCAGAUACCGUCCUAGUCUUAACCAUAAACUAUGCCGACUCGGGAUCGGGGGCGCGAACUAUCCGCCUUCGGCACCGUAUGAGAAAUUAAAAUCUUUUGGUUCUGGGGGGAGUA
rnacentral:rRNA from 1 species